UACGUAGGGGGCAAGCGUUGUCCGGAAUCAUUGGGCGUAAAGAGCGUGUAGGCGGUCCGGUCAGUCGGUUGUGAAAGUCAAGGGCUCAACCCUUGAAUGCCGGCCGAUACUGCAGGGCUAGAGUCCGGAAGAGGCGAGUGGAAUUCCUGGUGUAGCGGUGAAAUGCGCAGAUAUCAGGAGGAACACCGAUGGCGAAGGCAGCUCGCUGGGACGGUACUGACGCUGAGGCGCGAAAGCGUGGGGAGCAAACAGG
rnacentral:rRNA from 1 species